rnacentral:tRNA from 1 species
GACAAUAUGGUUCAAUGGUAGAACACUUGCCCAGCAAGACCAGAGUUCCGAGUUUAAACCUCAGUACUGACG